UACGUAGGAGGCGAGCGUUGUCCGGAAUUACUGGGCGUAAAGAGCGCGUAGGCGGCGCUGUACGACCCGUGUGAAAGCCCCCGCUCAACCGGGGGAAGGGGCACGGAUACGACCGGGCCUGGAGGGGGGUAGGGGGACCUGGAACUUCCGGUGGAGCGGUGAAAUGCGUAGAGAUCGGAAAGAACACCAACGGCGAAAGCACUCUGCUGGGCCGACACUGACACUGAGAGACGAAAGCUAGGGGAGCGAAUGGG
rnacentral:rRNA from 1 species